AUUGAACGCUGGCGGCAGGCUUAACACAUGCAAGUCGAGCGGAGAUGAGGUGCUUGCACCUUAUCUUAGCGGCGGACGGGUGAGUAAUGCUUAGGAAUCUGCCUAUUAGUGGGGACGACAUUCCGAAAGGAAUGCUAAUACCGCAUACGCCCUACGGGGGAAAGCAGGGGAUCUUCGGACCUUGCGCUAAUAGAUGAGCCUAAGUCGGAUUAGCUAGUUGGUGGGGUAAAGGCCUACCAAGGCGACGAUCUGUAGCGGGUCUGAGAGGAUGAUCCGCCACACUGGGACUGAGACACGGCCCAGACUCCUACGGGAGGCAGCAGUGGGGAAUAUUGGACAAUGGGCGGAAGCCUGAUCCAGCCAUGCCGCGUGUGUGAAGAAGGCCUUUUGGUUGUAAAGCACUUUAAGCGAGGAGGAGGCUACCUGGAUUAAUACUCUAGGAUAGUGGACGUUACUCGCAGAAUAAGCACCGGCUAACUCUGUGCCAGCCGCCGCAGUAACAC
rnacentral:rRNA from 1 species